rnacentral:tRNA from 1 species
AAUGAAGUGUCUGAAUAAAGAAUUAUUUUGAUAGAAUAAAAAAUGUGAUCCUAUCACCUUCAUUA